GAGGGAGGGCAAGAAGGACAGAGAAGAAAAAGGGAGGUAUCGAAGAAGGGAGGAGGAUGGAGAAGUCUGAGACAGAGUAAAGCGCAAAAAAAGGAAACAUGGAGGGGAAGGAAAUUAAUACAGAACCAAAACACACUGACUAAAGAAAGAAAGAAUGAGGAUGAUGAGAAUAGAAGAAGAAGAAGCGAAGCAAGAUAACGGUGAAGAUGCCAGAGAAGAACAUACCACAAAACAAAGGAAGAAGGGAAAAUUAAACAAGAAAGCAAGAAUGCAGAGAGAGGAGAAAAAGGUCAAGGACAUAGUGAAAUGAUGGGAGUGUCUCCCUCCGUGCCUCUCAGCAGCCCACAGCCCAGCACUCUCACCUGGUUUCCUCACUCUGCACCUCGACUCCGGAUCUCCUCAGUUCUCUGCACAAUUCUGACACAAUAAACCUGUUAACCCUCUUCCCUCUGUGUCUGCAUUUUGGGUCCUAUUCCUCACUGCCAUCACAUCUUACAUUAUUACUAAGAUAUAUCUGGACAGAGUUUGACUUUCUCAAAGUCAAAAGUAGAAACCUCAGAAUGGUAAAUUAAAAACAGACAAGCGCAUGACAAGUGAACACGAUAGUGAGCGAAGAUCUUAUUAAGAAAGACCCUCCGCACGCUGAUAGAAACCGAACUGUUUAGGAUAAACUGCAUCUCUGUGAGGCCAUUUCCUCGUGCCAUUCUUUUCAUCUUCUUCUCCUCUUUACUUUUGGCAGUCCAAUGUCACCAUGACGACAACAAAACAAACACGGCCCGAGCCACGGUUUUGUAGAUAAACACUUCAUUGUUGAGAUCUGUCGUCUUGUCAUGGAAAAGUUAUGAAACAAAUAAAUCUAUCUUGAACAA